UGGGGAAUUUUGGACAAUUGGGCGAAAGCCUGAUCCAGCAAUGCCGCGUGUGAAGAAGGCCUUCGGGUUGUAAAGCACUUUUGUCCGGAAAGAAAUCCUUGGCUCUAAUACAGUCGGGGGAUGACGGUACCGGAAGAAUAAGCACCGGCUAACUACGUGCCAGCAGCCGCGGUAAUACGUAGGGUGCAAGCGUUAAUCGGAAUUACUGGGCGUAAAGCGUGCGCAGGCGGUUUGCUAAGACCGAUGUGAAAUCCCCGGGCUCAACCUGGGAACUACAUUGGUGACUGGCAGGCUAGAGUAUGGCAGAGGGGGGUAGAAUUCCACGUGUAGCAGUGAAAUGCGUAGAGAUGUGGAGGAAUACCGAUGGCGAAGGCAGCCCCCCUGGGCCAAUACUGACGCUCAUGCACGAAAAGCGUGGGGGAGCAAAACAGGAUUAGAUACCCCUGGUAGUCCACGCCCCUAAAACGAUGUCAACUAGUUGUUGGGGAUUCAUUUCCUUAGUAACGUAGCUAACGCGUGAAGUUGACCGCCUGGGGAGUACGGUCGCAAGAUUAAAACUCAAAUGAAUUGACGGGGUCAUA
rnacentral:rRNA from 1 species